rnacentral:tRNA from 1 species
GGCUGAAUGGCUUAGUGGAAAGAGCACGGGCUUGGGAGUCAGAGGAUGUGGGUUCUAAUCCCGGUUCCACCA